rnacentral:lncRNA from 1 species
CCCAACUAGUCCACAUAAUUCCAUGACAUGCCGAUUCUCUGGAGAGGUAGGAACCUCCCAUAUCAAAGAGGAUGGCUUAUGAAUAGAAAUCUCAAGAGUUAUUUACUUUGUUCUCUACUCUAGCUCGUUUAGAAAUACAAGUGACCACACCCGUAGCACGGCCAUAUUUGCUAAAAAAAUGUGUUGUGCUAGAUAAAAUAUGGUUUGACACAUGUAAUAGAUUUAUGUAGUGUUCUUUUUGCUAGUAAUAAAAGCCUAAAGAUCGUCAUGCACUUGUAAUAUGGAAGCUCUCAUGUAUUAGUU